GAAAGGAAGGAAGAAGAAUUGGGAUCAAGAGCACACUUCCCAGUGUGGAGCAAGGCAACAUGAGUUGCUGAAUGCUGUAUAAAGCAGCAAGAAAUACCCCUGGCGAAUGUAGCUUGCUAUCGGUGAUUUUUCCUGCCCUUGUGUUCCUCACACUAGUCACAUUUCAUGUAUGACUUCUUUUAGUUUAUUUAUAUCGGAGACAUAAAGAGAGAUUGCUUUGAUGUUACUGUGUUUCUAAAAGCUUUCUUCAAUGAGGAUGGGACUGUGUUAAUUGCAUUUAUAAAUAUACUGUCAUAUGAUGCCUUAGCACAAGUGUUUUCCCUGUUUAAAAUUGUUAUAUGUA